rnacentral:lncRNA from 1 species
CAGAGGUGGCAGCACACACCUGUACUUCCAGGAGUCGGGAGGCUGAGGCAGGAGAAUCGCUGAGAGUUCAAGGGCAGCCGGGGCUACAUAGUGAGUUCAAGGCCACCCUGAGACCCAGUCUCAAAAAGACCAAGACAAACAAACAAACAAAACCAAAGAUUCUGGGUGGAAUGACGAUGAAUAAAGGAAAGGAGUCAGCCCGUGAAAGAUCUGGGAGAAUCUUGGCCCACAGGUUUAAAACAAAAAUGAAGUCAUUAAGUACUGUUUGGAAAGCACCUGCCUAUGUAUAAAAGAUACAGUCUUUGGGAAAGCAAGAUCACAAAGCUAAAAAACAGAAGGUAUUUAAUUAAUGACUUAAAAUUGGAAAAAUAUAACAAAGUUGCAUAUAUUUAUAGGAGUUUUUUU